UUUUGGUUUAAAUUUCUAGGGUUUAAGCAAUUGAUUUUCUUAUUUUCCUGAAUAUUGUCUAAUUUCUCGCGAUUCUGUUCCUUUUGCCCUGAAAAGAAAUGUGAACUCUAAAAAUUAUGCGAGGCUUGAGUUUACAGAAACGAAUGGUGCUUUGAGAUCGCGCAGUGGAAAAUGUGAACCCUACUAGGCCUUAGGAGAGGAAUGAGUUUACAAAAUAUAAUGGUGUUUUCCUGGAUCAGCGCAGCGAUAGUGUGAACCAUAACAAGUCUUAUGAGAUGUAACCUGGACCUACUGACUCUAUCUCUAGCCUUGUCCUAAUGCAAAUUACUUGGUGGCCACUGCCUGGGAUAAUCAGGUUUGCUCGGUUACACGCUUGGGAUGUCAUUAUAGCAUCAGGCAAAAAGCGUAUCCUAUCAACCAGUAUUUGUAUAUUCUUUGCAUGCACCUUAUGUUUAGAAUUGUUUCAAAAUUUUAAUGGAAAAUUUGGAAAAUGAUUAUUGCUAACAUUUGAUUUGCUAUUUCUAAGGUUAUGUGCUCUAGCCUAUACUUGAAGGGAUGAUGUUCUCGUAGUGUUUACUAGAGGAUGCAAUAAGCUUGGGAAUCUGUGGCUCCCGACUCUUGUGACCAACCUAUGCAAGUUGCUGUGCAUGAUGUGCCUAUCAAAGAAGUUGUUUGGGUUGAAGAGUUGAAUUGCCUAGUUGUGAGGAACUGGGAUAAGAGAUCGAGACAAGUGUAUAUUGAGUUUCGUUUGAUUAGUAUUAAGGAUUAAGGAACACAUUGAUUUAGUUAUUAUCUGAUAAAUGUUUGUUUUUGUGUUCAUACAUUGUUAUCGGUUGCAUUCUCAAAAUCCUAAUGCAAUACAUGAAUUCCAUCAAAAACAAUUGUGAGGCAUGUUCAACUAAGCUGUGUGUUAUCCUUGUUAAACACAUAAUUCUCUUGUGUAUGUAGGCAAAACCUGGACCCUGUGACGGUCUCUAGCCUUAGUUUCAGUCCUAAGUCAAAUUUCUCGCUGGCCACUUGGAUAAUCAGGUUAGGUGCUGGGAAAUUAUGACAGGUACCAGUCAGGCGAAGGAAGCCAUAUCUCAUGACCAACCGUUCCGUUCUCUACUUGGAAGGAUGAUGUUCCACAGCGUUUACUGGUGGACGUUAUAAGAUUUUAAAAAUGCAGCCCUUGAUGUCUGGUGGUCAACCUACACAAGCCGUUGCGCAUGAUGCACCUGUCAAAUAAGUCGCUUGGAUUGAACAGUUGCAUUUCCUAAUUAUAGGGAGCUGGGCGCGGAAAGAGUCGCCGAUUAACCAAGCACUUCACUGUCGACAAAGAAAAAAACAAACUAGUUUUAUCGUAGUUGAUCUCACAUGGUAAACCCAAUGGGAACCAAAAAACAGGAGGGUACCGUAUUGGGCAGAAGACGAUCCAAAAAGCGAAGGCUCACCCUUCAAAGUGCCGGGUGAGAUAGGCGACUAGUGGAUUCGCCUCUUAUGCGCUGCUAUCGGGCAUCAUCGGAGCUUCGCUUUUCGUGCAUGCAUUUGAAAGUGGACUAGAUACGAGUACUUUCCUUUCUUUCACUCCCGUCCAACAAUUCAUUCUUUUUUUUUUCGUGACAUUAAGAGGGUAGACUUCAUCCGAGACACAUGGGUUCUUUUGCUUCAAUCGUCUGAUCGCCUCUAAUCUAAAGAGACACAUGGGUUCUUUUGCUUCAAUCGUCUGAUCGCCUCUAAUCUAAAAAGAAGCGCAUGGUAUAGAUUCCAAAUUAAGGAGUGAGAAAUAUGAAAAUAAGGGCUUCUGUUCGUAAAAUUUGUAAAAAAUGUCGAUUGAUCCGUAGACGUGGACGAAUUAUGGUGAUUUGUUCCAAUCCUUGACAUAUCCCGAAGUACCACCUGCUGCUCCAGUUGCUCUGAUGUGCACGCUGACCGGGGUGACGGAGGCCACUCUUUGAUGACUCGGUCAAAAUCGCAAACUAUGCUUCCUCAAGGUUCUUUUCACUCUCGCUAUCCUCUUCUGUUGCACAACCUCACCAAGCUUAUCUUUCUACUCCCUCCGGUCACCUCUACUUAUGCUCUCAAGCAUCCAAAGAUCCUCUUCCACUUUGAACUAUUUGAGCACAGGACAGGCUAAUAUCUGUUUUUAGUUAGUAAUUAUUGGCCUCUCUUCAUGUAGCCUUGUCCACAUUUUGGUAAAAUUGACAUCCUGGGAUGACUGGAAUGACUGCAAAUGUUUUAGAUAUUUUUCUUAAUCUUGAGAAGAUAAGAUUUUGAAAUUUGACAUGAGCCAAAUUUGAAUUCUA